rnacentral:rRNA from 1 species
UACAUGGGGUGCAAACGUUGCUCGGAAUUAUUGGGCGUAAAGCGCACGUAGGCGGUUUGUUAAGUCGGAUGUGAAAUCCCUCGGCUCAACUGAGGAAGUGCAUCCGAAACUGGCAGGCUUGAGUACUAAAGAGGGUCGCGGAAUUCCCGGUGUAGAGGUGAAAUUCGUAGAUAUCGGGAGGAACACCGGUGGCGAAGGCGGCGACCUGGGUAGAUACUGACGCUGAGGUGCGAAAGCGUGAGGAGCAAACAGG